rnacentral:rRNA from 1 species
CAGUCGCCACGGUAAUACGAAGGGUGCAAGCGUUAAUCGGAAUCACUGGGCGUAAAGCGUGCGUAGGCGGUUUGUUAAGUCUGUUGUGAAAUCCCCGGGCUCAACCUGGGAAUGGCAAUGGAUACUGGCAAGCUAGAGUGUGUCAGAGGAUGGUGGAAUUCCCGGUGUAGCGGUGAAAUGCGUAGAGAUCGGGAGGAACAUCAGUGGCGAAGGCGGCAACCUGGCUCAUUACUGACGCUGAGGCGCGAAAGCGUGGGGAGCAAACAGGAUUAGAUACCCCUGUAGUCCCUGUCUCUUAUAC